GGUAGCAUAAUAAUUAGCCUAAUAAUUAUAGGAUAGAAUCAAUGGUUAGACGAGGAAGAUACUGUCUUCUUAUUAUUUAUGUUAAAGUUUAAGUUAGGGUGAAGAUUCCUUAAUAUAUGAGCGGGACGAGAAGACCCUAUUGAGCUUUAGUAAAUUUUUAAAUUUUAAUUUUAAUAAUACUUUGGUUGGGGCAACUAUGAAGAAAUUAAACAUCAUUAAAAUUUAGAUAGUUUAAGUUGAAUUAUUAUAUAACAUGACCUUAUAAUUAUAAAAAUAAAGAAUAAGUUACCUUAGGGAUAACAGCGUAAUUUUUCUUGAGAGUUCUUAUUGACAGAAGAGUUUGCGACCUCGAUGUUGAAUCAAGAUUUCCUGGGGAUGUAGAAGUUUCUAAGGGUUGGUUUGUUCAACCAUAAAAAUCUUACGUGAUCUGA
rnacentral:rRNA from 1 species